GGGGGCGAAAGGUUUCGACUCUUGUAGGCUUGGAGAGAGCAGCAUGUCGAGGUUGUCAGGAGGCCUCGAAAAACACCUGGCACAAAUAAAACGCCAACUACGAUGCAGUAGCUGAAGCUGAAGGCAUUCUUGUCUCCAGUGAGGCGGUAGCUGUCGCCUAAUAAGGCGACCCGUCUACAGGUCUUGCCUGUGUGACUUGAUAGACGCCGUUAACAGGCUGGUCCUUUGAUUUACGUUCUUUUGAAAAGGGCGAGGAGCAUAAAAAGAACUAUACCCGGUGUUAUCCUGUCUGUCGGAGCGCAUCAGGUGAACUUAAAAGACUGACUAAACAUGUAGAUACUCUUUCUGGGAUACCUGAGGACGCGGAUUCGAUUUCCGCCGCCUCCACCA
rnacentral:tmRNA from 1 species